rnacentral:tRNA from 1 species
GCCUGGCUAGCUCAGUUGGUAGAGCAUCAGACUUUUAAUCUGAGGGUCCAGGGUUCAAGUUCCUGGUCAGGUG